rnacentral:tRNA from 2 species
UUCCUCGAUAGCUCAGCGGUAGAGCAUUCGGCUGUUAACCGAAGGGUCGUUGGUUCGAACCCAACUCGGGGAGU